UUUUUUUUUUUCGGUCUUGACAUCUCCAUCAGCCUGACUAAAGAUCAUCCUCAGAGAGUUCAUCAAAAUAUGACAGCAGCCAACCUAUUUCCUGCCAAAUCCUUAUUUGAGUGAUGUUUACUUUGCACUUCAGGUGGCUCAAUUGGCUUUUAAUCAGAUUUCGGGUGCGCUCGGAUCUGGGCCAUUGUGAGUACACCCUUUGAAGAUUGCUGGUUACAUCUUCUAUCUGCGUGCAUCUGAGCAGGCUCGAUGACUCAAUGGUAUUCUAUUAUGUCUGGUGAACAUGUGUUUCAACUCCACGAGCGGAUUCAACUUUAGCUUGGAGAGAAAUGAAGUUGUUGAUGCAUAGCCGACCUCAAUGCCAGAUGACUCAAUUCUUUGACAGGUCUUGGGUGCGCUCAGACCUGGGAUUGUUUGAAUCUGGUUUGAGUGAGGUUGUUGUUAUGUUUGGCAUCUCACGAAGUUGGGAGAAUUAUGCACAACGGCUCGAGAAGAUUGAGUUUUCUCUUCUUGAUGCUUAAGCCAAGGAGAAUGAAGCCAUCGUCCGAAUUGCUUUGAUCAAGGAAGUGCUUGCUAUGAUAGAGAGGUGGAAGACAGAGAUGACGUUGUUCUUCAAGCAAGAUAGUGCCUCCUUUCAUAUUGCCCGAGGUGCAAUCCCAUAAUUCAAAAGAGAGUUUGACAAACAUAAAGUUGCACAUGUUGAUGAGGAAAUGCUGCGGAAUUUUGAAGACUUCAGAGUCACUUUUGAUCUCUGCUCAGAGAACUUUGGAGGAUCAAGACCCA
rnacentral:lncRNA from 1 species